ACGGAAGGCAGCAGUGGGGAAUAUUGGGCAAUGGGCGAAAGCCUGACCCAGCAACGCCGCGUGAAGGAAGAAGGUCUUCGGAUUGUAAACUUCUUUUAUAAGGGACGAAGAAAGUGACGGUACCUUAUGAAUAAGCCACGGCUAACUACGUGCCAGCAGCCGCGGUAAUACGUAUGGAGCAAGCGUCAUCCGGAUUUACUGGGUGUAAAGGGAGCGUAGACGGCAAAGCAAGUCUGAAGUGAAAUCCCGGGGCUCAACCCCGGAACUGCUUUGGAAACUGUUUAGCUAGAGUGCAGGAGAGGUAAGCGGAAUUCCUAGUGUAGCGGUGAAAUGCGUAGAUAUUAGGAGGAACACCAGUGGCGAAGGCGGCUUACUGGACUGUAACUGACGUUGAGGCUCGAAAGCGUGGGGAGCAAACAGGAUUAGAUACCCUGGUA
rnacentral:rRNA from 1 species